rnacentral:lncRNA from 1 species
UUAAGUUGACCAACUCAGUAUUUCAGGCCUCGACUCAGACAUAUCGAGCCGGAUGGAUUACUCGCGAACCCAGACCCAGCAGAAAGAAGAUAAUUCCGGCGAUGUAAUGUGAGACCCAGCAGGAAGAAGACAAUUCCGAUGAUGUGAUGUGAGAGAGAGGAGUUGGUCCAGUCUGACACGUUCGUACGUACAGACCUGAGUGACAUAGAUAGAUAGCACAAUAGCAGAAAGGCGGAAGGCGUUAGGGGCAGGUAAAAAAAAGAGAG